UGUGGUUUGGAAUCCGUAUUUGGGGCA
rnacentral:sRNA from 1 species